rnacentral:misc_RNA from 1 species
GCGAACAUAUACAAAGGUUCAAAAGCGUGGAUCUGUAGGAAGAUCUAUUGAUGUGACCCGUUAUAAAGGGUAUGGUGAGCUUAGACAUGAUCUGGCCCGCAUGUUUGGUAUUGAAGGGCAACUAGAAGAUCCACAAAGUUCUGACUGGAAGUUAGUUUACGUGGAUCACGAAAAUGACAUACUUCUUGUUGGAGAUGACCCUUGGGAGGAGUUUGUAAGCUGUGUUCAGAGCAUAAAGAUAUUGUCAUCUGCUGAAGUGCAGCAAAUGAGUUUAGAUGGAGAUCUUGGUAGUUUACCGGUUCCCAAGCAAGCCUGCAGUGGGACUAACAGUGGAAAUGCAUGGAGAGGGCAUUAUGAUGAUAAUUCAGCUGCCUCAUUUAAUAGAUAAGAGCUGUAUAAUGAUAAUAGGAGCAGUUAAUGGACUUCACGGUACAGUUAUCUUGGCCCUUUAGCAAUGGCAGUUGCGACUGUCAUGGCACCUAUCAACUCUUAAGGGGAAAUUGGUCGUACUUAAGGUACUCCAGUAACAAAGGGAAACAUUGUUACAUGGAGGUUGAGCAGCUUCUGAAGUAGUGGCUCUUAUGUUCUACAUGCAAAGGGCGCAGCUAUGAUAUUACCAUUUUCACUAAAUGUUGGCAUCUACUUUUCUUGCAACUUUUGGCUUUCCAAUGAUAGAUGGAAGCAGUUUGGCGACGUACGGGAGGAAGUAGGAUUUUGAAGUACAGUGGAAAGCAGAACAAAAGGAUUAGAUGUAUGAUAUGAUCUUUACGUAAUUUGAAGUUCAGUCUGACAAACGAUUCCUUGUAAAUGAUGGAGAGCAAUUUCUCGAUCACUGAUUCUGUUCAUUUUGUUGACAAUAUUUUCAACUGCUUAAC